UCUUACACCUCACACAUCAUCAAAUCUUAUCCUUCCACUGUCUCCCACCGCUCCUGGAAAAGCAAAAGAAAAAUAAAACGCUAGCAAAAGGCCGGCGCGGAGCGCCACCACCUACCACACAACAGCCAGCCGCUGCCGUCCUCGGUGCUCCCGGCGGUCGGCGAAGGCGACCCUGGGCGUGCUGCAGCUGCUGCUCCGGAGGAACGCUUACCUGGAGCAGGAGCUCGACCUUCGCUUCCGCCUCUUCCGCUCCUGGGACUCCCCUCCCGACGGGCACGCCGAGUUCCUUCGCGCCAACGCCUCCGCCAUCGGCGCCCUCGUUGGCAACGCCGAUGCUGCAUCGAUGUGCCGCCGUCCUUCUCUGUGGGGACCGACCGCGUCGACCUCCCAAGUGCCGGGAGCACCGGAUCCGCGUCACCAACACCCCCAACUUCCUCACCGACGACGUCGCCGGCCUCGCCAUUUCCGUGCCAAGGAAGACCACGCAGGCUGACCGCUACGUGCGCGCCGGCUUGUGGAAGGCAAGAGGGACUACGUAGUCACCACGCGGACCCCGAGACCGAUGCCGCCCCUGUGAUCGACUACGUCGACAACGACCCUCCUUCUCUUUCAGCAGAGCUUCCAGGCAAGCCCCCCCUCUUUGAUCAUCCCGAUAUCGCCAGUUUCAUUCUCUCAUGCUUGCAUUAGAAUUUGCUACUGUUAUUGUUUGCUCCUAUUCUGAUGCAAGCCCGCUUUUCUAACCUGCUCAUUGUACCUUACCUGCUUAUCCUAAACUGCUUAGUAUAGGUUGGUUAGGAGAUAAUUACACGAUAGUACCACAUUUGGGGCGGUGGUGGCGAAUCGGUACCACUUUUGGAAAUUUUUACGUGUCAGUACGACGUUUGGGUCGAACCGUUGCAGAUCGGGCUAAUCUUCGUAUUUCUACGUAUUGACGCUAGAACUGACCGCCUGGGCCCGCGCGUCAGCUGCCACGCUAGCGAAUCGGCACCCACCCGCUCGCUCGAUACGUGCGGUCCGGCUCGAACCGGACCGUCCCGUGCUCUGUCUCUCCCUCCUCGCUCGUGCCUUCCUCCUCGCUCCUCUCUCGCCGCCCUCGUCGCUGCCCGCAGCGUUGCCGGACCGGAUCGCCGCCGCCCGCCAUGGUUUUCGAAGACGAAAGCAGUGAGGAGACGUCCAGCCUGCCGUACAUGCACUCGACCUCAUCCACGGACGGGCUUAACCAGGUCCCUUUUAGCGUUGAAGAUCCAGAUUAUCAGGGGCUUGAGCAGGAAACGAUGUCGCCAUGUGAGAAGCACAGGAAGGCAUCUGAGAGGCUUGUCGCAUUUGAAGGAACAAACACAGGGAGAAGGUUCUUAGCAUGUGCAGAGCCGGUAUGAAUUGUAGGGUGAUAGUUCGAUAUUAUAUUUAGGUUGAUAGUGUCAUAUUAUUGUUGGUUUGACAGUGGCAUAUUGAACAUGACUACAAGGCCUGAUUAUUAGGGCAUAUUCACUUUUGCAACAGCAGUAGCAGUAGUUUAAUGACAGUGGUACUGUUAUUUUGAAGUGGCAUUGUUCUUGCUAUCAUGUGAAAUAUUCAGUUUGGGACUUCUACAGGUUUUAUGUUGCUGUUGUGGCAUUUUUAUGUAGUUAAUGAUAGUGCACUGUUAAU